GGUGGGAGGAAGUCACAGUAGUAAUCCUACAGCUGGAAGGGGACAGAAGGCAUAUACCUGAACUUAGCCCUGUAUACAUCCAAAGUUCAUACUUUUUUCGUAAACUAAAUAAAAUAUUAUUCCUGAAAUACUGACUCAGGUAUGAGUCUCACCUUUACGUAAUGACUAAGACUUUCAAAGCACUGCUGUGUACAUCACCCCCCCUCAGAGCAGCAGGCUGAGUGGAGGGCUUGUGGGGGCUGCUGGGAGGGUCUGAGUAAUAACGAGGGGUGUUGAAGGUAGGUAGUGGGGCUGUCACCAUUGCCACUUGGUAGAAUUACUCUGCAACAUUACACUGCGCGUGCAAGAAUUAUUUUAAAAGUAAAACCCCGCACUCCUUGCCAGGAGGAACGCAGGCCGGCAGGGAGUGCGGGGGAGCAGGUACCAGGCAGCCCGGCCUUUCCCAGCCAGGCGGAAGGGAACCUCCUGCUUGGGCUCCAGUCUCCAAAGCCAGUGUCCUUGUCUGCCUCACCCGACUGAUGCUCACUCUCCUGAGCUUCUCUCUCCGCUUACAGCGCUACUGCAGGGCCCCUUUUCCAAGUCUGAGCAGGCCAAGGGGACCCCCCUGAAAGCGAGCUGCUGGCUUAAAGGAGGGAGAGGGCAGUUAUCACGAGCUGGCGGCGGUUCCGGCCUGACUUCUGGGGCAGCAUUCCUGCUCUCCGGAUAGCAGGCUGCAAAGGGUAUGAAAAGUGCUCAGUAUCAGUGGCUCGCAGCGAGACAGGAAAUCUCAAGCAGACCCGCCCUUCCUUCCUGCCCUGUGAAGAGCUGAGCUGCAGAACCAACCGCAGGAGCAGCUGGCCUUGAGUCUUGCUGAGAAGAGGACCGAGAGUCCGAGGGGAGAACCUCCAAUUACCCAAGGACUUCCUGCUAGACCCUACCUCUUACAGGUCCACCACCUGCCAACACUUAACGCCCUGGGGAGUAGCCGCUAAUCAGCUGGAUCCUUGGGGAACACCUAAUUUCCAAACCAUAAUUUGGCCAAUAGAACUCACAGAAGCUAGCUUUUCUGUCCUUUGGAUGUAUCCUCAUUGUUUGUGUAUUUCCUUACUUCCCAG